rnacentral:sRNA from 20 species
GAGUGAGUUAGUAGAAAAACACUUGGGGUCGAAACACGGCAAGACUCCCGGGUGUUUUUCUCA